rnacentral:lncRNA from 1 species
AAAUGUAGUGUUCAAUUAGCCUGGUAAGGAACCAAAAAUUCAGGAUCGGCAGUCACCCUUAGAGUCUGUAAAGGAGUACGCUUAUCUAGGUCAAUUACUCACAGGGGACCCUGAUCACGAGAAAGAAAUUUA